GAUGAACGCUGGCGGCGUGCCUAAUACAUGCAAGUCGAGCGAACAGACGAGGAGCUUGCUCCUCUGACGUUAGCGGCGGACGGGUGAGUAACACGUGGAUAACCUACCUAUAAGACUGGGAUAACUUCGGGAAACCGGAGCUAAUACCGGAUAAUAUAUUGAACCGCAUGGUUCAAUAGUGAAAGACGGUUUUGCUGUCACUUAUAGAUGGAUCCGCGCCGCAUUAGCUAGUUGGUAAGGUAACGGCUUACCAAGGCAACGAUGCGUAGCCGACCUGAGAGGGUUAUCGGCCACACUGGAGCUGAGCCGCGGUCCAGACUCCUACGGGAGGCAGCAGUAGGGAAUCUUCCGCAAUGGGCGAAAGCCUGACGGAGCAACGCCGCGUGAGUGAUGAAGGUCUUCGGAUCGUAAAACUCUGUUAUUAGGGAAGAACAAAUGUGUAAGUAACUAUGCACGUCUUGACGGUACCUAAUCAGAAAGCCACGGCUAACUACGUG
rnacentral:rRNA from 1 species